CAGUGUGGCAGGAAGACAAAUAAACAACAGAGGACAGUUACAAUCUGGACAGCUAAGCAGCUUCCACAAUGACAGCUGCUAAAAUGUAGAUAGACUGCAAAUAUUUGGAUGGCUUUACAGAUCCCCAGACCAAAAAGAAUGACCAUGGAGCAACAUGACUUUCAGUUGCCAAAUUACAGAAUCGCUUACACACAGUCUCUGAAAGUCAUUUUACAUGCACUUUUUUAAAAUUAGUUAUAUACACUAGGAUUUGUUAGUUUUUUUAUUUUAAAUUUGUGUUCCUCCUUGAUUCUGUCAAUUUAGUGAUCCUGGCUGUAUUUGUGACACAUAAAUAUCACUGUUCUGUAAAGGCUGGAAUACACUAUAUGACUUCUGAACAGAUUUUAAAACACUAGACAUUAUGGGUGUGCGAUAAGAUGAUUUUUGAUUGUGGAUGAUAAAAAUGUCUCCACAGUCUGCUUUUGAAGUAGUAUCGUAAUAUCGAGCUACAGAGCACAUUCUAAUCAACUGCAUUUCUGUCGUCUCAGUCUCAAUAUUACGUUACUGUAGAAUGCCACAUACAUUCACAUCAGUGUUAACUCAGCGGUAGAGUUACUCUCGUGGGAUACUGCACUUACUCGCAAUUACAAAAGUACAUUUUUGGAUGUGCUUUAAAGCCUUGCCAGUUUAAUAUCUUUACGCGUUGUUCUGAUGUGCGCUUUUUCUGAGUGCAUACUCCCGAAGUGUGCGCACUAAAAAGCCUGUCAAACAGCACCCGAUUACUGAACUAAUUAAAGUCUAAAAUAAAAGUAAACUGUUAAGAAAAAAAUGGAUGCAUGUCUGUAUAUAAGAUGCAUGCAGCUCUUAAAGGGACAGUAUUAAACAUGCAGCCGACUGUCAAUAAAGGGUCAUGAAACCCCAGACAAUUUUUUCUGACAUUUAAGCAGGGGCUAACAUUGCCAUAGAAGACAAAUCUUAGCAUCCGAUAAUUUUAACUGUUGGAGAAAACUUGAUUAUUGUAAGCUUUUUUGCGCCAUUUUCAUUUUCUGGGUUUAAAAUCUACAUCCUGUUGACGUCAUAAUUCGAUGACGUGUCGUUGUCUAUUAAAUUAUUCAUGAUACUGUGCGUUCUUAUCCUAUGAGAAGACGCUUCGCGUAAUUAUUCACAACAGCAUGUGUUGACUUUCUAUGACAGACGCUUCAGACUGUGAGCAGUGUUGCCAAAAUUUGGACAGCUUUUUGAUACAACUGGUGUUGGUGACGCAUUCCUAAUCCUGCACCUGGCAACUGGUAUGUAAGGGCAUCCUAGAGGGAAUCUGCAUUUCCCGAAAGGCUUUUCUAGUUUAAGUAUAAGCUGUUCCUGUAAAACAGUAGCUCUUUAUCAUCCAAAAAAUGACAAGACAGAAACAGCACAUAAAAUCCAUACAGUAUACUUACACUUGAAGGUUUAAUCUCAACCCUUGUCUCUUACUAUUUCAGAAAUGGCUUCACUGCCAUUCAGCGAAAAGUGAGAAGAUUUCUGAAGCUCAAAUAAUGUGGAAAAAUAUACUUCUGAAGUCAUUCAUUUUUAAUCCUCUUUUUUAAAUGAUUAAUUUAUAUCUUUUCUAGUCCUUUCUAUCCUGCAGUGUUUUAUUUCCAGGUCCACAUGGCUCACCAACAGACCAAGAUGAAGGAACUAAAUAUGGUUGCAGUUGCUGAGAAGUACUGUAACCAGCUGAUCAAGCAGAAAACAGCAUGAAAGAAAGAGAUGUUAAAGAAGGACAAUAAUGUUGCCAAUGCUUGAAGUGCUCAAAACUAAUGGACCUGAGAAGAGACUUGGAAGCAUGGGAGUCAAUUCUGGCAAAGUCAGAAAAGGAAAAACAGGGCCUGGAUGACAAAGUACAGAAGCACACCUUUGCCAACGGGAUGAAAGUAUCGCUAACACCCAGAAUAAAAAGAAAGAUCUAGAGAAGCUCCAGCAGAAGGAAGAAACAUCAGAGUACAAUAGAUUUCCUCUAAGCUAGCCUAGAGGAAGAGGUCUGAGGACUAAGAAGAAAAUGGAUUCAGACUUGGAUAAAAUGACAGUGGCACCAAAAACAGUUGUGACCUUCAAGAGACUGGAGCUAUUUAACCUCGAACCAGACGGUGACUGAAAUCAAGGUGUGCAGUGGGUUGAAACCUCUAAACCUGCCAGGAAACCUUUUGAGCUGGUGGACAACACUGAGUGUCUGAAUGUGUAGGUAUACGUCAGCCUCAGUUGAGGUAAAUAGAGGUCAGCGUUGCGCAUGCGCCGGUGAGUCUCUUGAAAACCAAAGUUUGUUAACAGGAUCGAAAGAAGCAAAGUUUCCUUACUUUAGCAAAGGAGAACCAGCCUCCUCUUGGCUUAUAUCCUCUAACAUUCCGUUGUUUUGUUUUGAUCUCUCUGCUGUGUGUCCGUUCGGCCACUUGAGCGGCGCAUGCACAACACUGACCUCCAUACGUUAUCUGCCCGAAACUGCUUCCUUUUACACAGUGAGCGCAAGCUAGAUUAAAGUGAUUAUUACGUUUUGAAUAUGGAUAUUUUUCUUACAAAAAAGCAUCGAUUCACUAAAGGAGGCCUUUGUUCACCCCCUGGAGCCAUGUGAAACACUUUUUAAGGACGGGCGCUUUUUAUUUAACUUCUUUUGGACUGAAGCAAUGCAACACCCUUUGAGUGUCAUUAAACAACUUGAAAGACCAAAGACUUGUUAAAAUUAAAAUUUUAAUAUAACUUCGACUGGAUUUUUCUAAAAUAAGAAAGUCAUAUACACCUAGGAUGACUUGAGGGUAAGUCAUUUAGGGCCUAAUUUUCAUUUUGGGUAAACUAACCCUUUCACAAAGUAGCAUUAAAAUGAAAAUAGAAUGCGAUUUAAAUUUAUGUUUGAAAUGCCAGCUGUAGCAAUCUUUAUUUAAUUUAAAGAUGUUUUGAGGCUUGGGGUCGGUAAGGUUUUUUCUAAAUGCAUUAGAAAUCUCUUAUGCUCAUCAAAGCUGCAUUUAUUUGAUUUUCAACAUCAUUACUCCAGUCUUAAGUGUCACAUGAUCCUACAGAAACAAUUCUAAUAUGGUAAUUUGCUGAACAAUACAUUUUUCUUAUUAUUAGUUGUGAUGCUUCAUAUUUUUUGCGGAAAUUCCAAAGAACAGCAUUUAUUUUAAAUAUAAAUAAUUUGUAACAAAUGAAAUGUCUUAACCUUACCUUUUUAUCAUUUUGAUGCUUGAUGAUUACUGACCCACAAGCUUUUGGUAGCGUAGCCUAUAUGUGACCCUGGACCACAAAACCAAUCAUAAGAAUACAUUUUUUUAUAUUUUGAUUCAUACAUCACCUGACAGGCUAAAUAAAUAAGCAUUGAUGUAUGGUUAAUUGAGAUUGAGGACAUUAUUUGGCCGAGAUACAACUAUUUGAAAAUCUGGAACCUGUAGUUGCAAAAAAAAAAAAAUCUAAAUAUUGAACCUUUAAAGUUGUCCAAAUGAAGUUCUUAGCAAUGCAUAUUACUAAUCAAAAAAAAUUAUAUUUAUAUAUUUACAGUAGGAAAUUUACAAAAUAUAUUCAUGGAAAAUGAUCUUUACUUAACAUCCUAAUGAUUUUUGGCAUAAAAAAAUCAAUAAUUUUGACCAUUACAAUAUAUUUUUGGCUAUUGCUACAAGUAUACCCCAGCAACUUAAGACUGGUUUUGUGCUCCAGGGUCACAUAUGCAUAUAUGUAACACUUAAAAUGUUGACAACUUAUUUGGCCUUGGUUAUACUGUAGAAUCAUCAAAAUGGCAGAAUUCAUCCCACAUGAA